GUUGAUCCUGCGGGAGAUUGCUGCUAUUUGGGUUCGAUUAAGCCAUGCAAGUCUUCUAGCAAUAGAGGCAGAAUGCUCAGUAACACGUCGAUAACUUGCCCUUAAGUCUGGAAUAACCUCGGGAAACUGAGGCUAAGACCGGAUAGGAAAUUACUUCUGGAACGAUUUUUUUCUGAAAGGUAACGCUUAAGGAUAGGUCGGCGGCGGAUUAGGCUGUUGGCGAGGUAACGGCUCACCAAACCUUAGAUCCGUACGGGCUCUGAGAGGAGUAGCCCGGAGAGGGGCACUGAGGUACUGGCCCCAGCCCUACGGGGUGCAGCAGGCGCGAAACCUUUACAAUGCACGCAAGUGUGAUAAGGGAACCCAAAGUGCUUAGUUAAACUAGGCUUUUGUUGAGUGUAGAUAACUCGACGAAUAAGUGGUGGGAAAGACUGGUGCCAGCCGCCGCGGUAACACCAGCGCCACGAGUGGCAAUCCUAUUUAUUUGGCCUAAAGCGUCCGUAGCCGAUUGAGUAAAUCUCUUGUGAAAUUGUUCUGCUCAACAGAACAGCGUGCAGGAGACACUGCUUAGUUAGGGACCGGGAGGAGUCAGAGGUAUGCUUAGGGGAGCGGUAAAAUGUUAUAAUCCUAAGUAGACCACCUGUGGCGAAGGCGUCUGACUAGAACGGGUCCGACGGUGAGGGACGAAAGCCAAGGGAGCAAACCGGAUUAGAUACCCGAGUAGUCUUGGCUGUAAACUCUGCGAGCUAGGUGUCGCAUAUUCUCCGUGAAUAUGCGGUGUCGAAGCGAAGGUGUUAAGCUCGCCGCCUGGGAAGUACGGUCGCAAGACUGAAACUUAAAGGAAUUGGCGGGGGAGCACUACAAGGGGUGCGGCGUGCGGUUUAAUCUAACUCCACGCAGAGAAUCUCACCAGAGGCGACGGCAAGAUGAAGGUCAGUCUAAAGGGCUUACCUGAUGAGCCGAGAGGUAGUGCAUGGCCGCCGUCAGCUCGUGCCGUAAGGUGUCCUGUUAAGUCAGGCAACGAGCGAGACCUGUAUCCACAAUUGCUAACGACUAAUUUUUAGAAUCGAGCACAUUGUGGGGACUGCCCUGGAAACAGGGAGGAAGGUGCAGGCAACGGUAGGUCUGUAUGCUCCGAAUCUUCUGGGCUACACGCGCGCAACAAUGAUACAGACAAUGGGUCGCAACUCCGAAAGGAGAAGCUAAACCUCGAAACUGUACCCAAGUCCAGAUUGAGGGCUGUAACUCGCCCUCAUGACGCUGGAAUCCCUAGUAAUCGGAACUCAUCACAUUCCGGUGAAUAUGUCCCUGCUCCUUGCACACACCGCCCGUCAAACCACCCGAGUAGGGUCUAGAUGAGGCUUGGUUUUGAAUCAAGUCGAAUCUAAGCUUUGCGAGGAGGGUUAAGUCGUCACAAGGUA
rnacentral:rRNA from 1 species